rnacentral:rRNA from 1 species
AUGGCGCCGUCCUCGAAGCCGGCCAAGACGACGCCGCACAUCCUGCUGCUCCCCUACCCGGCGCAGGGCCACGUGAACCCGUUCCUUCGUCUGGCCAAGGCCCAGCACGCGCGGGGAUUCCACGUCACCUUCGUCCACACGGAGCACAACCAAGGCCGCCUCCUCCGCUCCCGCGGCCUCGGCGCCGUCACGGGCGCCGCCGACGGCUUCCGGUUCGAGACGAUCCCCGACGGGCUCCCCCGUUCCGAGCACGACGCUACGCAGGACAUCUGGGCGCUCUGCGAGGCCACGCGCCGGGCGUGUCCUGCCCACCUCAGGGAGCUCGUCGAGCGGCUCGGGAGGACGGAGGGGGUCCCGCCGGUCACCUGCGUCAUCGCCGACGGCGCCAUGGGGUUCGCGGUGCACGCGGCCAAGGACAUGGGGCUGCCGGCCUACCUCUUCUUCACCCCCAGCGCCUGCGGCUUCUUGUGCUACCUCAACUUCGAUCAGCUUGUCAAGCGAGGAUACGUGCCAUUCAAAGACUUCCGACGUUUCAGUCACCUAGUAUACGAUAGUGACAACAACAGGAGAAUGAAACUCUUUGGUCAGCUACUUCAGAAAGAUAAUGGUCCAACCCUCAACCCCCUCCUAACCUGUAGAAGUGAGGGUUGGGGAGCGAAAACUACCCCAACCCGCACCCGUGUUCCGGCUGAGCGCGGGAGGGAGUUUUCCCCGUCCCCAACCUCCCGCCCGCGCCCACCCGAGCCGCCGGCCGCCCCCCGCCUCCCCUCAACGCGCGAGGCCGCUGUAGCUGCGCCGCAGUCCUCGCCGCCGGAUCCGCCGUUCCCCGCCGCCUCCCGCCCCGCGCAGUAG